rnacentral:rRNA from 1 species
ACUUUGAGAGAGAGUUCAAGAGUACGUGAAACCGUUCAGGGGUAAGCGGAAAAGACCCGAAAGUUCGAACGGGGAGAUUCACGCUCUCCCGUACCGUCAUCACUGCCGCCUGCCAGACUGACCACACGUUCGAACCGGUCGCGCUUCUGUGCGAUCGGCCUAGAAUGGACUGUUGGCUUGGCUUACGGCGGUAAGAGGCGGCGGGGUGCCGCACUUCUCCCUCAGUAGGACGUCGCGACCCGUUGGGUUAGCGGCCUACGGCCUCGGACGGAGACCGGCGGUCGCACGGGGCUUCGGUCCAGUGCGUUGCCGUCCGGACCCCGGGUGUCCCGGCCGAACGCCCGACGGUAUAGAACGCAGGUGUUGAACCGCCGAAAGGCGCCCUUGGCCGGUCGCAAGCGUGGUCGUGUUUCGGUGAUCUCGGACCUCUGGUCCGACUCCCUUACCGAUCCGCUGUUAGCGAUCCGUGUCCUCGGGCCGGUGUUCGAAACACCAGACUGCGACGCUUCAGCUUUGGGUACUUAUCCGACCCGUCUUGAAACACGGACCAAGGAGUCUAACAUGUGCGCGAGUCAUUGGGUGAAAAACCUAAAGGCGAAAUGAAAUUGAAAGCUGUAGCUUUUUUCCAACCUAGGGAGGAUGAGCGUGUCAAGCCCAAUCGGCGGCGCUCCGCACUCCCGGGGCGUCUCAUCCUCAUUGCGAGGCGAGGCGCACCUAGAGCGUACACGUUGGGACCCGAAAGAUGGUGAACUAUGCCUGGCCAGGACGAAGUCAGGGGAAACCCUGAUGGAGGUCCGUAGCGAUUCUGACGUGCAAAUCGAUCGUCGGAGCUGGGUAUAGGGGCGAAAGACUAAUCGAACCAUCUAGUAGCUGGUUCCCUCCGAAGUUUCCCUCAGGAUAGCUGGUGCUCAGGGAACAAAGAAUCUCAUGCGGUAAAGCGAAUGAUUAGAGGCCUUGGGGCCGAAACGACCUCAACCUAUUCUCAAACUUUAAAUGGGUGAGAUCUCCGGCAUUCUUGGACAUUGGUUAAUGAUGCCGGAGUCUCGGAUCCAGAGUACCAAGUGGGCCAAUUUUGGUAAGCAGAACUGGCGCUGUGGGAUGAACCAAACGCCGAGUUAAGGCGCCUAAACGACGCUCAUGGGAAACCAUGAAAGGCGUUGGUUGCUUAAGACAGCAGGACGGUGGCCAUGGAAGUCGGAAUCCGCUAAGGAGUGUGUAACAACUCACCUGCCGAAGCAACUAGCCCUGAAAAUGGAUGGCGCUGUAGCGUCGUGCCUAUACUCGGCCGUCAACGGCACAGGGGGCGGCACCUUCGCGGGUGCCGGGCCGUGAUGCCUUGACGAGUAGGAGGGUCGCGGCGAUGUGCGCAGAAGGGUCUGGGCGUGAGCCUGCCUGGAGCCAUCGUCGGCGCAGAUCUUGGUGGUAGUAGC